GGUGGUUCAGUGGCAGAGCACUUGCCUUGCAUGCAUGAAGCCCUGGGUUCGAUUCCUCAGCACCA
rnacentral:tRNA from 1 species